CCACAGACAUCACACGCUUGGCCGCUGCACAACCUGUCGGUGCCCGAAGACUUGCCAAGAUCAGAGGGUCCAUCGUACUGUCUGAGGGAAGGAUGAAUCCACCAGCAGGUAUAAAGAAAAAAAUUAUGAAGUCCCAUUUUCCUAAGCUCUACUGCUUAUCCUAUCACUGCGAAGAAAUCUACCUGUUAAUAUCCAGGGUGCUGAGAGUUUCUGAAGGAUAACAAGAAGCCCUCUCUUUUUAACAGAAAUUACAUUACAAUGAAGACAAUGGAAAGUAGAAAUGCCUCAAGCAAUCUGCAUAAAAACGGAUGGAGUUUUAGGAGGAAACAGAUGUCAGCGUAUUUUUUCCAGUAAGACACUUGGAGCUCUCCAGGAAUCACUCGUGAAGCUGGUCUACCCUCACCCUUCAAGUUACCAUGUAUGUACGUAGUGACUACAUUAGACAGUGAACGUUUUUAUAAGGUCAGUGUUCCUACUUUUGAAUACCAUGUAAUUUCUCAAUUAAAAUUAUUAGAUUUAAUAAUAUGUUAAUACGUGCCAAAUUUGAUAUCCCUAGAAGAAAGAAUUAUCCUAAUUAUUAGUUUAACGGUAAUUUGUAGUAAAGUGUACCUAUUAUGUGUUUAUGAGGCACUAAUAUGUGCCUUUCAGAUACCGUGAUUACCUAUGGGGGUCACACAAUUAACACACUAGACAACCCCUUGGCUUAAUCACACUGCAUGUCUUUUCUCUAUGCUGCGUCGGUUGCUUUUUUUUCUUUUUCUUCUAGGAUUUGUUGACUGGUGACCUGAGCCAUUUUGUUCUGUCAACCAAACAUUGGUUCUCUCGAAAAUUGAAGUCGUCAUUGCUGCCUCCUUUUACUGCCAGAUAAGUGCUUUGUCUGUGGAGUGCUAUUUCCAGAAAUCAAUGCGUUGCUGCAUGCAGGGAAGAAGCCAUGAUCCGUUACUCUGCACGUACAGUACACCUCAACAAUCACAUCGCCAGGGUGAUAUUUCAUUUUAAGGACCUAUACAGAUGGUCUCUUGUACAUGAUUGAAAACUGGAAUACCAAUUUCAGCUCAGGAAAAAGGAAAUGAUGAAUACCCAACUAAAUUGUCGCAUCAUGUAGGCUACUAAAUACGUUUGAUGUAUGUUGGGAAAUAACUGAUAAUGGUUCAUUCGAAAUAUUGCAGUAUAUAUGGAAAUUUAGUCUUGGAGUGUUGAUCUGCUGCCGAAGGGUUCUGUGCCUGUUUACUUAGAAAAAUCCAUAUAAUAAAAUGUAUGGAUAUGAUACUUUUAAAGAAAUGGUAAUGCUAAACCUCAAUCAGCUCCCAUCACAUCACUUAUAGCACUAGCUUUCUCCAUGUCAAAGAGAGUCAUG